rnacentral:rRNA from 1 species
GAUUGACGGACUGAAGGCUCUUUCUCGAUUCCGUGGAAAGUGGUGCAUGGCCGUUUUUGGUUGGUGGAUCGAUCCGUCUGGUUAAUUCCGUUAACGAACGAGACCUCGGCACUCCGAAUAGCGCGGCGGACGUCGCGGCCUCCGGGCCGUCUUCCGCACGAGCUUCUUAGAGGGACCGUCCCCCGCCGGGGAAGGAGGUGCGAGGCAACGACAGGUCUGUGAUGCCCUUAGAUGUUCUGGGCCGCACGCGCAUUACACUGACGCGUCCAACGGGUGACUCCCGACCCCGAAGGGGCCGGGGAAUCCGCAAGGCGCGUCGUGAUGGGGAUUGAACGUUGCAAUUGUUGUUCACGAACGAGGAAUUCCUAGUAGGCGCGGGUCAUCAACCCGCGCCGAUUACGUCCCUGCCCUUUGUACACACCG